rnacentral:rRNA from 1 species
GAGUUUGAUCAUGGCUCAGAACGAACGCUGGCGGCGCGCCUAAUACAUGCAAGUCGAGCGAGAAGGUGUAGCAAUACACUUGUAAAGCGGCGAACGGGUGAGGAAUACAUGGGUAAUCUACCAUCGAGUGGGGAAUAACCAACCGAAAGGUUGGCUAAUACCGCGUACGCUUCUGAGCCUUCGGGUUCGGAAGGAAAGCCGUACUGUGAGUGCGGCGCUCUUUGAUGAGCUCAUGUCCUAUCAGCUUGUUGGUAGGGUAACGGCCUACCAAGGCUUUGACGGGUAGCUGGUCUGAGAGGACGAUCAGCCACACUGGCACUGCGACACGGGCCAGACUCCUACGGGAGGCAGCAGUAAGGAAUAUUGCGCAAUGGGCGAAAGCCUGACGCAGCGACGCCGCGUGGGGGAUGAAGGUCUUCGGAUUGUAAACCCCUUUCGGGAGGGAAGAUGGAGCGAGCAAUCGUUCGGACGGUACCUCCAGAAGCAGCCACGGCCAACUUCGUGCCAGCAGCCGCGGUAAUACGAAGGUGGCAAGCGUUGUUCGGAUUCACUGGGCGUACAGGGUGUGUAGGCGGUUUGGUAAGCCUUCUGUUAAAGCUUCGGGCCCAACCCGGAAAGCGCAGAGGGUACUGCCAGGCUAGAGGGUGGGAGAGGAGCGCGGAAUUCCCGGUGUAGCGGUGAAAUGCGUAGAGAUCGGGAAGAAGGCC